GGGCAGAUUCCCGAUGACAUAAAAUAACCCAUGCGAGGUUAGAUCUCGUCUGUGAAGCUACCGACAUUGUGAAUAUAUUCAUAACCACAACAAUGAACAGUCUAGGAACUCUGUGUUUUGCUGCUGCAGUCCUGGUGAUCACUGCUAACAGAUAUGACUCUCUUUCUCCUGAAGACCAGGCACUCACUAACCGACUUAUCAAAGUUGCUAAUGAGAAAUUUGCAGGAUCUGGAAUACAUUUAGACAUUUCAGAACAGCUGGAAUUUAUGUACGAAAAAGAGAGUUUGAGAAUAUUGUUGAAACCAACAACAUGCAGAAGAGGCCAGGACUUGAAUCACCGACCAAAGUGUACGGUUCUGGAAAAUGCAAAUCCUCAAAUCGACUGUAUUGCUUGUGAUGGAAACUUUGUUGACUGUCAGCGUAAAGCUGAACUAUGGAAGACUAAGGAUAUCAGAGAGAUACAUUGCGGAAAGGUCCAGAGAGUCCAUCAUUUUGGACAAUAUGGAGUAGCAUCUAUCCUCCUGACAACUGAAUGAGUUAUGUACAAUGUGUUGCAAAUGUGUGAAAAUAUACAUCUGACUGUUUCUGUGCACAACAAAUUUAAAAGCCAAUUCAC